rnacentral:rRNA from 1 species
UACGUAGGCAGCAAGCGUUGUUCGGAGUUACUGGGCGUAAAGGGUGCGUAGGCGGCUAUUUAAGUUUGGUGUGAAAUCUCCCGGCUCAACUGGGAGGGUGCGCCGAAUACUGAGUGGCUAGAGUUUGGGAGAGGGACGCGGAAUUCCAGGUGUAGCGGUGAAAUGCGUAGAUAUCGGGAGGAACACCAGUGGCGAAGGCGGUUACCUGGAGCUUUGCUGACGCUGAUGCGCGAAAGCGUGGGGAGCGAUCCGG